rnacentral:rRNA from 1 species
AUAUCAAUAAGCGGAGGGAGAGAAACCAACAGGGAUUGCCCUAGUAACGGCGAGUGAAGCGGCAACAGCUCAAAUUUGAAAUCUGGCUUCGGCCCGAGUUGUAAUUUGUAGAGGAUGCUUUUUUGGCGCGGUGCCUUCUGAGUUCCCUGGAACGGGACGCCAUAGAGGGUGAGAGCCCCGUAUAGUUGGACACCUAGCCUCUGUAAAGCUCCUUCGACGAGUCGAGUAGUUUGGGAAUGCUGCUCAAAUGGGAGGUAAAUUUCGU